rnacentral:misc_RNA from 1 species
GAUGAAGAACGCAGCGAAAUGCGAUAAGUAGUGUGAAUUGCAGAAUUCAGUGAAUCAUCGAAUCUUUGAACGCGCAUUGCGCCCCAUGGUAUUCCGUGGGGCAUGCCUGUUCGAGCGUCAUUUACCCCCUCAAGCUCCGCUUGGUGUUGGGCGUCUGUCCCGCUUCGCGCGCGGACUCGCCCCAAAGGUAUUGGCAGCGGUCGUGCCAGCUUCUCGCGCAGCACAUUGCGCUUCUCGAGGCACCGGUGGGCCCGCGUCCAUCAAGCUCACCCCCCCAGUUUGACCUCGGAUCAGGUAGGGAUACCCGCUGAACUUAAGCAUAUCAAUAAGCGGAGGA